rnacentral:siRNA from 1 species
UCCUAAGCAGCAAUUUCAGGG